rnacentral:rRNA from 1 species
UACGGAGGGAGCUAGCGUUGUUCGGAAUUACUGGGCGUAAAGCGCGCGUAGGCGGCUUUGUAAGUUAGAGGUGAAAGCCCGGGGCUCAACCCCGGAAUUGCCUUUAAGACUGCAUCGCUUGAAUCCGGGAGAGGUGAGUGGAAUUCCGAGUGUAGAGGUGAAAUUCGUAGAUAUCUGGAGGAACACCGGUGGCGAAGGCGGCGUUCUGGACUGCAACUGACACUGAGGAACGAAAGCCAGGGGAGCAAACGGG